rnacentral:rRNA from 1 species
GUCCUUUAGGGUAUAAUUAAAGGUUUAACCUGCCCACUGAAAAAUUUAAAUGGCCGCAGUAAAUUGACUGUGCAAAGGUAGCAUAAUCAAUAGUUUUUUAAUUAAAAGCUUGUAUGAAUGGUUGGACGAGAUAAAAUCUGUCUUUAGAUAAAAUAUAGAAUUUAAUUUUUAAGUUAAAAAGCUUAAAUUUAAUUAAAAGACGAGAAGACCCUAUAGAUCUUUAUAAUUAUUUAUUUAAUAAUAUAUAGGAAUAUUAUUUAUUUUAAUUAAUUAAUUAUUUUAUUGGGGUAAUAAAAAGAUUUAAAAAAUUCUUUUUUAAUAAUAACAAUAAUUGUUGAUUUGAUGAUCCAUUAUUAAUGAUUAUAAGAUUAAGUUACCUUAGGGAUAACAGCGUAAUUUUUUUAAAGAGUUCUUAUCGAUAAAAAAGUUUGCGACCUCGAUGUUGGAUUAAAAAUUAUUCUAGGUGUAGAAGUUUAGAAUUUUGGUCUGUUCGACCAUUGAAUUUUU